ACAAAUGAAGUCACCGUUGAGAAACCAGACUGUCAUUCUGAUAAUGUGUCCUCUGGAUUAACUCAGUCUACCCAGCUGAAAAAUCCACGCACAAAUCCACCUGGGUUUCCGAAGACUUUCCACGUGGGUUUCCUAUAAGAUUCACAAGUGGUUAAUUUUCCAUGAGUUUGUUGCCGAAACGUCAUUAUUGCCGACGCCGUUCUGGGCAGCCGUCCCGCAGGCGCAGCGGUUAGCAGUCUUUACUCGGGUUUGCGAGACCCGGUCCCCUGCCAAGGAUGCAACACUGAAUUGCUGCGUACCUACCAACCCAAGAAUGGCGGUCCACUAAGUGCUAUCACAAAUAGAGUAAAAAUUAUUGAAAAUAUUCGUAAUGUACAUGUACUAAAUAAACCGGGGCCCGCUUUUCCGGAACCCGGUUCUUGCCAGUGCGGGGCGAUGGGAACUGCCUGUAUUAUUCCCUCGCAGCUUUGGUGCCGCAGGAAGAAAUUACGUACAGGCAUAAAGUUCUCUUGCACACAGUUAAAGUCUCACGAAGCAAAAUGCCAAAUGCUUCGUACCUACGAAGGAUUUGCUCCCUACGAAGCGUCCAAAUCCUUCGUAUUACAAAGGAUUUGGCAUUUUUCUUCGUAAGACUUUAACAGUGCAAACAGUAAAAAGGUCAUGGGAUAAGAUUUCUGUGCCACCGCAUAGGUGGUUUCUUAGGCAAGUUCCUAGACGCGCUGAUGGGACUGUGUUUCAGUCCUGGCCAGAUUUCGAUACUUGGUAAAAUGAAAUCAGGCCGCAGCAUCAAAUAAUCCGAAUGAUGGUCGUUCUGGGGAGUAUUCUGAGUUGGGAGGACUGCUAUUUUCGAGCAGUCAUUCCAGAUUUCCUAAUGCGUAACGGCAAUGCACAUUUGGAGGACCCAUCGGACUAUUUUAGGUACAUCCCAGUGAGAAAUGGAAAGUCGAAAACACGUCGAUAUGACAUCGAUUUCUAGAUCGAUUUUUUAGUCGAUUUUGGCAUCGAUUCGAUGCGGAGGUGGUCAUCGGAUCGAUACGUUGCCGAUAUUGAAACAGACAUCGUUACGACAUCGUUUCGACAUCGUUUCGAGGUCGGCCACUGAAGAGCAUCUCUUGUCGAUUGUGUAUCGAUUUUGUGUCGGACUUCCCCGACUGGAUUGAAGAGGGUAGUUUAGCCAAUAAUAAUGCAGUAUGAGAGCAUGACAUUAUAUUCUGAAUUUCAAGCCCAUAACAAAACAAACUUUGCUAUUCGCGCAUAUUUUAGCAGCUAUCUGAGCUAAAAUAAAUGAAACUAAAAGAAACAAUACAGCCAAGGAGCUAUAGGAGGAGCUCAAGACUCUUUAAAUGUUAAGUAAACAGACAAAACAAAACUUUGCCGUUUGCUUAUUUUAUCAGCUAUACUAUCUGAGCUAAAACUAAAUGUAACAUCACAGCCAAGGAGCUAGGAAGGAGAAGCCCAAAGACUCAUUAAACAUUUUGGUAAA